GACGAACGCUGGCGGCGUGCUUAACACAUGCAAGUCGAACGGAAAGGCCCUGCUUUUGUGGGGUGCUCGAGUGGCGAACGGGUGAGUAACACGUGAGUAACCUGCCCUUGACUUUGGGAUAACUUCAGGAAACUGGGGCUAAUACCGGAUAGGAGCUCCUGCAGCAUGGUGGGGGUUGGAAAGUUUCGGCGGUUGGGGAUGGACUCGCGGCUUAUCAGCUUGUUGGUGGGGUAGUGGCUUACCAAGGUUUUGACGGGUAGCCGGCCUGAGAGGGUGACCGGCCACAUUGGGACUGAGAUACGGCCCAGACUCCUACGGGAGGCAGCAGUGGGGAAUAUUGCACAAUGGGCGGAAGCCUGAUGCAGCAACGCCGCGUGCGGGAUGACGGCCUUCGGGUUGUAAACCGCGUUCGCCUGUGACGAAGCGUGAGUGACGGUAAUGGGUAAAGAAGCACCGGCUAACUACGUG
rnacentral:rRNA from 1 species